rfam:Strongylocentrotus purpuratus Contig9879_fixed, whole genome shotgun sequence.
GGGGGUGUAGCUCAGUGGCAGAGCAACUGACUUAUAAUCAGAACUGGUCCCGGGUUCGAUCCUCGGUACCUCCA